GAUUAACGCUAGCGGCAGGCCUAAUACAUGCAAGUCGAGGGGCAGCAGGGUGUAGCAAUACAUCGCUGGCGACCGGCGCACGGGUGCGUAACACGUAUGCAACCUACCUUUAACUGGGGAAUAGCCCUCCGAAAGGAGGAUUAACACCGCAUAACAUCACGAGACGGCAUCGCCUUGUGAUCAAACCUCCGGGGGUUAAAGAUGGGCAUGCGUCCGAUUAGCUAGUUGGCGGGGUAACGGCCCACCAAGGCGACGAUCGGUAGGGGGUCUGAGAGGACGGCCCGCCACACUGGGACUGAGACACGGCCCAGACUCCUACGGGAGGCAGCAGUGGGGAAUAUUGGACAAUGGGCGAAAGCCUGAUCCAGCAAUGCCGCGUGAGUGAUGAAGGCCUUAGGGUUGUAAAGCUCUUUUACCCGGGAUGAUAAUGACAGUACCGGGAGAAUAAGCUCCGGCUAACUACGUGCCAGCAGCCGCGGUAAGUGACGUCAGA
rnacentral:rRNA from 1 species